UGUGCAAAUCGAUGCAAAACUAA
rnacentral:miRNA from 1 species